AUCAACUUAUCGUGUGCGAACUUGUGGGCGUGCAUGAGUUUCGGCCUCGCUGUUUGCAUGUUUGUGCGUUUUGGGUGUACUUUUUCGUAUGGUAGGCCAACGUCAGUUUCGAUUAUCAUAAAAUGACCGGCGGAAUGUAGCUUCGAUUUCGGUUGAAGUGUUAUAGCCUCUGGUAGAUGUGGUGAUUGAGACUGAGGAUUGCAACGAAUACCCUUUGGGCUAUCCGUCUGGCCUCUGAAAGUUGCUCAGGUGCCGAAAGCGUGCUUACGGUCAUCUAAGAUAACGUUCAACAGGUUAGAACGUGAUUACAUUCGUUAAGGACGUUGGCGUAAUGGCUUU
rnacentral:rRNA from 1 species